GCUGUGAUUAAACAUGAAAAGAAACCAGCGGAGGCCAGCAAGACAAAUCCAUACAGACAGGAGUGGGUAGUGGUUUUGGUUGUUUUUCAGCCUGAUGGGGCCUUUCAGCUGAAUUUAGUGUUUCUGUGUUUGGGAAGGUGCCAAGACUGAAUAGCACAACUCAGCUGGGGAUGCAGAGGUAUCUAAGCCCUUGCCAUGUAAUUUAAAUGGUUGUUUGGACUUCAGCAAGUGACUGAGAUGCUGUCAAUUUGUGCUGAUUGGUUUUAAGGACGAAGAAAAAGCCAUUCACAGCCAAUGUAUAUGGUGGUGCAAAAACAAAAGCAAACACUGAUGGUACAAGGCUGGAGUUGCAAGAAACUCUUUUGUGAACUACUGGUAUGACUAAGGCUGUGAGAGAUCUCAGUCCAAUUUGGUCUGAUUCUUGUCUGUGUUUAUUGUGCUGCCUUUUGACUUCUUGGAGUGACUUGUGUGAGCAAGCAGGUAAUCAGAUAUUGCUAUUGGAGGUGGUUUCAUCCUGGUGCUGAGGUCCUUAGCUGAAGGUAGCCAAGCCCUCGACAGCUACUCCUGCCUCUGCUGUCUUCUGACUCCCUAGCAGAGGGUGGCACAAGCAGAACCCCUGGGAGCCUGAAUGGCUCUGAGGGGAGUGCAAUCCCAGGGCAUCGACACAUCCCAGAAACAUAUGUCAAUAGCAAUAGGCACUGUCUGCUCACCACAGGAGUGGCUGCAGCAUUUCUGUCCACUCUCGGCUCCUCACACAUGGCUGCCAAGUGCUGCUGGGACACCCAAGCUGUGCCUCUGAGAGAACAGAAGUGUUUCCUCCAGGGAAGACUGUGGCAGGGAUGCAUGAGUUUGCUCUUAGGACACUAAAACUUAUACAGCUGGAAAAAGAUUUCAAGAUCCAUCCCUGCACACUGGAACAAGAUGCUCCAUGUGAGCCAGGAUUUCUCCACAGCUGCCUUGGCCCUUCUGUCCUCUGUGGAAUGCCUGUGGCAAGAAAGCCAUACACGAAUUGAGCUUGCAGCAGCUCGUGGGGAAAGGGAACAUAUG